rnacentral:tRNA from 1 species
GGAGGUAGAGCUCAGUGGUAAAGCGCGUGCUUAGCAUGCACGAAGUCCUGGGGUUCAAUCCCCAGUACGUCCA